rnacentral:rRNA from 1 species
UGGGAAUUUGGACAAUGGGCGAAAGCCUGAUCCAGCAAUGCCGCGUGUGUGAAGAAGGCCUUCGGGUUGUAAAGCACUUUUGUCCGGAAAGAAAUCCUUGGCUCUAAUACAGUCGGGGGAUGACGGUACCGGAAGAAUAAGCACCGGCUAACUACGCGCCAGCAGCCGCGGUAAUACGUAGGGUGCAAGCGUUAAUCGGAAUUACUGGGCGUAAAGCGUGCGCAGGCGGUUUGCUAAGACCGAUGUGAAAUCCCCGGGCUCAACCUGGGAACUGCAUUGGUGACUGGCAGGCUAGAGUAUGGCAGAGGGGGGUAGAAUUCCACGUGUAGCAGUGAAAUGCGUAGAGAUGUGGAGGAAUACCGAUGGCGAAGGCAGCCCCCUGGGCAAUACUGACGCUCAUGCACGAAAGCGUGGGGAGCAAACAGGAUUAGAUACCCUGGUAGUCCACGCCCUAAACGAUGUCAACUAGUUGUUGGGGAUUCAUUUCCUUAGUAACGUAGCUAACGCGUGAAGUUGACCGCCUGGGGAGUACGGUCGCAAGAUUAAAACUUAAAUGAAUUGACGGGGUCAUAGCUGUUUCCU